UGCUUCAUUGGCCUACUGGUUAGAGCAUCCGACUCUGAUGCGGGAGGUCGUGGGUUUGAUCCCCAGUCGAGUCAU